UACGAAGGGGCUAGCGUUGCUCGGAAUCACUGGGCGUAAAGGUGCGUAGGCGGUCUUUAAGUCAGGGUGAAAUCCUGGAGCUCAACUCCAGAACUGCCUUGAUACUGAAGAUCUUGAGUCCGGAGAGGUGAGUGGAACUUGCGAGUGUAGAGGUGAAAUUCGUAGAUAUUCGCAAGAACACCAGUGGCGAAGGCGGCUCACUGGCCGGUACUGACGCUGAGGCACGAAAGCGUGGGAGCA
rnacentral:rRNA from 1 species